GAACUGUGCGAACGUUAUUCGGGAAUCACUGGGCUUAAAGGGUGCGUAGGCGGGUUUUAAAGGUCUGAUGUGAAAGCCCACGGGCUCAACCGUGGGAAUUGCGUUGGAAACCAUAAGCCUUGAGGAAGUCAGAGGAGAGCGGAACUGAUGGUGGAGCGGUGAAAUGCGUUGAUAUCAUCAGGAACACCGGUGGCGAAAGCGGCUCUCUGGGACUUUUCUGACGCUGAGGCACGAAAGCUAGGGGAGCGAACGGGAUUAGAUACCCCGGUAGUCCUAGCUGUAAACGAUCAGCACUAGUCUGUGGGGACUUCCACAUCCUCUCGGACGUAGCGAAAGUGUUAAGUGCUGCGCCUGGGGAGUAUGGUCGCAAGGCUG
rnacentral:rRNA from 1 species